rnacentral:sRNA from 1 species
AUCUCGGAGUCGGUCAGCGUCUGCCCCUUGAUGAUCCGCUGCCCGAUUAGUUGCACGAUCUCGGGGCU